GACGGGGGGGGCAAGUGUUCUUCGGAAUUACUGGGCGUAAAGCGCGUGUAGGCGGCUAUGCAAGUCGGGCGUGAAAGCCCUCGGCUCAACCGAGGAAGUGCACUCGAAACUGCGUAGCUAGAGUCUCGGAGAGGAAGGUGGAAUACUUGGUGUAGAGGUGAAAUUCGUAGAUAUCAAGUGGAACACCGGUGGCGAAGGCGGCCUUCUGGACGAUGACUGACGCUGAGACGCGAAAGCGUGGGGAGCAAACAGG
rnacentral:rRNA from 1 species